AUUGAACGCUGGCGGCAGGCCUAACACAUGCAAGUCGAACGGUAACAGGAAGAAUCUUGCUUCUUUGCUGACGAGUGGCGGACGGGUGAGUAAUGUCUGUGAAACUGCCUGAUGGAGGGGGAUAACUACUGGAAACGGUAGCUAAUACCGCAUAACGUCGCAAGACCAAAAAGGGGGACCUUCGGGCCUCUUGCCUUCGGAUGUGCCCAGAUGGGAUUAGCUAGUAGGUGGGGUAACGGCUCACCUAGGCGACGAUCCCUAGCUGGUCUGAGAGGAUGACCAGCCACACUGGAACUGAGACACGGUCCAGACUCCUACGGGAGGCAGCAGUGGGGAAUAUUGCACAAUGGGCGCAAGCCUGAUGCAGCCAUGCCGCGUGUAUGAAGAAGGCCUUCGGGUUGUAAAGUACUUUAAGCGGGGAGGAAGGGAGUAAAGUUAAUACCUUUGCUCAUUGACGUUACCCGCAGAAGAAGCACCGGCUAACUCCGUG
rnacentral:rRNA from 1 species